rnacentral:rRNA from 1 species
UACGUAGGGGGCAAGCGUUGUCCGGAUUUAUUGGGCGUAAAGAGCGUGUAGGCGGUUAGGUAGGUCCGUUGUGAAAACUCGAGGCUCAACCUCGAGACGCCGAUGGAAACCAUCUGACUAGAGUCCGGAAGAGGAGAGUGGAAUUCCUGGUGUAGCGGUGAAAUGCGUAGAUAUCAGGAGGAACACCUGUGGCGAAAGCGGCUCACUGGACCACAACUGACGCUGAUGCACGAAAGCUAGGGGAGCAAACAGG